UCAAAUCGCGCUGAACACACCAGUUCUUUUUCGAUUACCGAAGUUAAGCAGCAUCGAGCCUUGUCAGUACUUAGAUGGGGGAUCACUUGGGAACACUGGGUUCUGUAA